rnacentral:rRNA from 1 species
GAUGAACGCUGGCGGCGUGCCUAAUACAUGCAAGUCGAGCGAUCAAGGUAGGAACUUGCUCCUAUUGCAUGAGCAGCGAACGGGUGAGUAACACGUGGGGAACCUGCCUUUGAGCCUGGGAUAACUUCUGGAAACGAAUGCUAAUACCGCAUAAAAUAUUUAAACACAUGGUUCAAGUUUGAAAGAUGCAUUUGCAUUACUCAAUGAUGAUCUCGCGUUGUAUUAGCCAGUUUGUGAGGUAAAGGCCCACCAAAGCGAAGAUACAGAAGCGACCCUGAGGGGGGGACGGCCACAAUGGGACUGAGACACGGCCCAAGCUCCUACGGGAGGCAGCAGUAGGGGAACUUCGGCAAUGGACGAAAGUCUGACCGAGCAACGCCGCGGGAGUGAAGAAGGUUUUCGGAUCGGAAAACUCUGUUGGUAGAGAAGAACGUUGUGUAUAGUGGAAAGCUCAUCAAGUGACGGUAACUACCCAGAAAGGGACGGCUAACUACGUG